CUUCUUUCUUUCUUUUGCUGCUCCUUGGACCUCUUUCUCUAUCCAUCGUCUCUUUCUCUCUCUAGAGUCUCAGAGCUUGCCCAUAACCCAUUUCACAAAGCUCAGUGAGUGGAGUUGGAAGGAUUGUGGAAGAAGGAGUUUUGGAGUGGGAAAUGGCUGGGAUUGCGAGCGAGGAAGCUGGAAGGUCCACAGAGGGGAUUUCUAGUGGGCACCGCUGCCAAUCAGGUGAAGCACUGGCAGAAUGGCGGUCAUCUGAGCAGGUGGAAAAUGGAACCCCAUCAACUUCACCCCCUUAUUGGGAAACUGAGGACGAUGAUGAUGGAGGGCCAAAACCUUCUGAGUUGUAUGGAAAAUACACAUGGAAAAUAGAAAAAUUUUCACAGAUUAACAAAAGAGAACUUCGUAGUGAUGAAUUUGAGGUUGGCGGCUACAAAUGGUACAUAUUAAUAUAUCCCCAAGGCUGUGAUGUUUGCAAUCAUCUCUCUUUGUUUCUUUGUGUUGCCAACCAUGACAAACUUCUUCCAGGUUGGAGUCAUUUUGCACAGUUUACAAUUGCUGUGGUGAAUAAGGAUCAAAAAAGCUGUGGUUAAUAAAGAUCCAAAAAAAUCAAAAUAUUCAGAUACAUUACACCGGUUCUGGAAGAAAGAGCAUGACUGGGGAUGGAAAAAAUUCAUGGAAUUAUCGAAAGUGUCAGAUGGGUUUUUAGAUGCUGCUGACACUCUAAUUAUAAAGGCUCAAGUGCAAGUCAUCAGGGAGAAAGCAGAUCGGCCUUUUCGUUGCCUUGAUUGUCAGUAUAGGAGAGAACUUGUUAGGAUUUAUUUGACAAAUGUAGAGCAGAUUUGUCGGCGUUUUGUGGAAGAGAGACGAGGCAAGCU
rnacentral:misc_RNA from 1 species